rnacentral:lncRNA from 1 species
CCUAUGUAGAGGCCAUACGCUUCUAUACUUAUGAUCAAUCACAUGGCCAUAAUAUUAAUGAGUGUAGAGAUUUGGUGCCCCUCAAAGAGCAUAACAAUCCUUAUGUACCUAGGAGAGAUAAUCACCCUCCACGCAAGAAUUCAUCCCUACUAAGGCAUACUCAACAGCCUCGGUGAGAAUAGGUGAGGCAAUCUCCCUCACCAUUCGAGGGAUGAGGAUGGAAAAAGGCCCCAAGAUGGGCAAAGGGAAAAAAGAAACCUUUUUGUGGAUGUAAAUAAUGCACCAAUCUGGAAAAUUGACACCAAUAGAGCCCCACGUAUAUGUAAAUAAUGUACCAAUCUACAAAAUUGAAACCACCCUUGGAAGCCUUUAUAUUGGAAUGAAUUCAAGGACUGCAAUAAAAAAAACUAUGUAAGAGAGGCCAACGGUCUCCCAAUAACCAGAUAUAUAGUUAACAACCAUCUCCAUGAAGCAAGAGUGAUUGAGCUCAUCACCUUUACUCAUGAAGAUGUAGAUGGACUGAACUAUCCCAUUGUAAUGCUCUAGCUUAAGGACAAUCAUAAUACGUAAUAGGUUCAAGUGCAUGCUGGUAGUCAAUGAAAGCCUUAUUAACAUCAUUUUGGAGCCAUUUAUGAUCAAAUGCUAGAAGAUUGUUAGCUGACUAUCAUCAUUUUUGCACUAUGUGGG